GAACGCACAUUGCGCCCUCUGGUAUUCCGGGGGGCAUGCCUGUUCGAGCGUCAUUACAACCCUCAAGCUCUGCUUGGUAUUGGGUGCCGCCCCUCACGGGGCGCGCCUUAAAGACAGUGGCGGUGCCGUCCGGCUCCAAGCGUAGUAAUUCUUCUCGCUCUGGAGGACCGGCCGCGUGCCCGCCAGAACCCCCAAUUUUUUCAGGUUGACCUCGGAUCAGGUAGGGAUACCCGCUGAACUUAAG
rnacentral:misc_RNA from 1 species